GAGGGGGUGGGGAGGGGAAGAGAAUUGAGUGAGUGAUGCAAGUUGGUUGCCAGGGAAACGUCCUCUGUGAAAAAACAGUCACCCCACAGGGUGGUCAUAAUUUUUCUUCUUUUCAGUUUAAUCCAAGUUGUCGGAAGCAGGAAGUCAAAUGGGGGACGUUAAUCUCUCUCCUCUAAGAUGGCUGAGAAGGGAACUCUGUGCUUCUUUUCUAAGAAGCAUAAACAGUCUUCUAAAAAAUCUGAAAGAAUAUAACUCAUUACCCAGACAUCUGAGGAUAAGCUGAAGCUGAUGAAAGCAGACGUGUGUGGCCAGAAGCCCUCACACUAUGAACGAGUCACUCACACCAAAUGAAGUUUUAUCAACUGACCCACAGGCCACUCAUCCACCUCGUGCCAGGCCUGGAAAGAACCAAACGGCCCCUAGAAGGCUACUCUGGAAAACAAGAGGACAUAUGUCACAACGGUUUUUUCCUAACCUUACAAAACAGAAUUAGAACGCGAAAAUACUUUCUCAGCAGAGCCUGGGUUGAAAUGGUAUUUCAUUCAUCUUAGUCCUGGCCGAUUUUCAUCUGGUCCAAUUUCUGGGAGGCACAGAUGAUCUGUUUUCAAGCAACUUUAACAUAUCAGACACCUGAAUAUAUAUAGGUCAUUAAUCAAAUGUAUUUUCAGCCAUGCUUAAAGUCACAGAAGUCUCAAAAUCAGAAGAACUGAGACGAGACAUACUGUUCCUGGGCUUACUAGCCUAGAUGUUCCUGAGACAGUGUCAGGGAAGAACAUGAGGAUAAUUGGCAGAGAAGCACAAUUUGUUACAGCCACACAGAUCUUCAAUGGGAAAGCCAAGCUUCCUGGUUAUCACAGUCCUCAGCAGCUUAUUAACUUCAAUGCACUGCCCCCCACCCCCGCUUUUUUAAAAAUUUAUCUCCAGAAUAUGGAGAAGGGGUCUUUAUUUCAGUCUACCACUCGCUCUCUUGCUUGCACUAUGGCCAAGGAUGCCUCCUGUUCUAGGCUGAGGUCUAAGCCCUUUGGUUUGGAAACUCCUGUGCUGUACACACACAGAGGCCUUCAGUUUGAUUUAGUGAUGUGAUCACAAGAAAAUAAAAUUCUGCUAAGACUGAGUCACCAGUCCUGGUCAUCCAUCAAUCAUUUUACAUUACAACAAAAUGAGAAGCUCAUCAACUCACAAAGGUUCUAUAAUCAUAUAUUAAAGUCAUGAUGGAAAUUAAACAGCAUCUUUAAUCUACUGCAAAUGUAAAAUCCAGUAGGGAGAGAACAGAUGUAAAUAUUUCUGGUAUAUAAUUCUGGAAGCACAAUACAGGCAGCACUGUGUUGAAAGGCUCUUUGUCACAAUAGAUGGUACGAUAUGUUUUUUCCUGAGCAUAGACUCAAUAAAUCAGAGGGAAUGGCUGA